CCAGGAGCAGUGGCACGUGUCUAUAGAACCAGCUAGUUGGAAGCUGAGGCAGGAAGACGGCUUGAACGAGGAGCUCUGGGCUGCGGGACGCUCUGCCCACUGGGCGUCCACACUAAGUCUGGCUCACUGGGAUGACCCCAUGGGAACAAGAGACCACCAGAUUGCCUAAGGAAGGGUGAACCAGCCCCAGCUGGACAGACAGGAGGUGAAA
rnacentral:sRNA from 1 species